CCCAGUAAACGGCGGCCGUAACUAUAACGGUCCUAAGGUAGCGAAAUUCCUUGUCGGGUAAGUUCCGACCCGCACGAAAGGCGUAAUGAUUUGGGCACUGUCUCAACAAUGCACCCGGUGAAAUUGAAAUACCAGUGAAGAUGCUGGUUACCUGCGCCAGGACGGAAAGACCCCAUGGAGCUUUACUCCAGCUUGAUACUGGGAUUCGAUAUUGCAUGUACAGGAUAGGUGGGAGACUGAGAACUGAUGACGCCAGUUGUCAGGGAGUCACUGUUGGGAUACCACCCUUGUAGUAUUGGAUUUCUAACCAGCAGCCGUGAUCCGGCUGGGGGACAAUGUCAGGUGGGGAGUUUGACUGGGGCGGUCGCCUCCGAAAGGGUAUCGGAGGCGCUCAAAGGUUCCCUCAGAAUGGUUGGAAACCAUUCGAAGAGUGCAAAGGCAGAAGGGAGCUUGACUGCGACACCGACGGGUGGAGCAGGUACGAAAGUAGGACUUAGUGAUCCGGUGGUAUGAAAGUGGGAUUGCCAUCGCUCAACGGAUAAAAGCUACCCUGGGGAUAACAGGCUUAUCACUCCCAAGAGUUCACAUCGACGGAGUGGUUUGGCACCUCGAUGUCGGCUCAUCGCAUCCUGGGGCUGAAGUAGGUCCCAAGGGUUGGGCUGUUCGCCCAUUAAAGCGGUACGCGAGCUGGGUUCAGAACGUCGUGAGACAGUUCGGUCCCUAUCCGGCGUGGGCGUAGGAUAUUUGAGAGGAGCUGCCCUUAGUACGAGAGGACCGGGGUGGACUGGCCGCUGGUGGAUCUGUUGUAUUACCAAAUGCAUAGCAGAGUAGCCAAGCCGGGACGGGAUAAACGCUGAAGGCAUCUAAGCGUGAAGCCCCCCUCAAGAUGAGAUAUCCCAUAACGUCAAGUUAGUAAGACCCCUUGAAGACGACGAGGUAGAUAGGGCAGAGGUGGAAGUGCGGUAACGCAUGGAGCUGACUGUUACUAAUAGGUCGAGGGCAUAACCAA
rnacentral:rRNA from 1 species